rnacentral:rRNA from 1 species
GACGAACGCUGGCGGCGUGCUUAACACAUGCAAGUCGAACGGUAACAGGCCGCAAGGUGCUGACGAGUGGCGAACGGGUGAGUAAUGCAUCGGAACGUGCCCAGUCGUGGGGGAUAACGCAGCGAAAGCUGCGCUAAUACCGCAUACGAUCUCUGGAUGAAAGCGGGGGACCGAAAGGCCUCGCGCGAUUGGAGCGGCCGAUGUCAGAUUAGGUAGUUGGUGGGGUAAAGGCCCACCAAGCCAACGAUCUGUAGCUGGUCUGAGAGGACGACCAGCCACACUGGGACUGAGACACGGCCCAGACUCCUACGGGAGGCAGCAGUGGGGAAUUUUGGACAAUGGGCGCAAGCCUGAUCCAGCAAUGCCGCGUGCAGGAAGAAGGCCUUCGGGUUGUAAACUGCUUUUGUACGGAACGAAACGGUCCGGGCUAAUACCCUGGGCUAAUGACGGUACCGUAAGAAUAAGCACCGGCUAACUACGUGCCAGCCGCCGCCGUAACAC